AAUUAAAGAAAUAUAAAUAUUAUAAACUUCUAAUUUAUAAAAUAGUGUAAUUUUUUAACAUUAAU
rnacentral:tRNA from 1 species